rnacentral:misc_RNA from 1 species
UUGAAUUGUUAAAAAUGGGGGAGUCUCGACUCCCUCUACAUUCUUUAUUCCUAACACCUGUGAAUCGUUGCUGAGUCCGCUCAGUGGCAACCUUUUUUACACACACAUAAUAGUUUAGAACGUAAAAACAAUAUAAUAAAAUA